rnacentral:rRNA from 1 species
GAUGAACGCUAGCGGCAGGCCUAAUACAUGCAAGCCGGACGGCAAGUUGAGUAGCAAUACUUGACCUAGAGUGGCGUAAGGGUGCGUAACACGUAUGCAAUCUGCCCACAGCCGGGAGAUAGCCCUCCGAAAGGAGGAUUAAUAUCCCAUAGGAAGAUGAGAUGGCAUCAUUUUAUUUUUAAACUACGGGGCUGUGGAUGAGCAUGCGGUUGAUUAGCUAGUUGGCGGGGUAAAGGCCCACCAAGGCGAUGAUCAAUAGGGGACCUGAGAGGGUGAUCCCCCACACUGGCACUGAGAUACGGGCCAGACUCCUACGGGAGGCAGCAGUAGGGAAUAUUGGACAAUGGGUGUAAAGCCUGAUCCAGCCAUGCCGCUGCAGGAAGAAGGCCUUCUGGGUUGUAAA